rnacentral:rRNA from 1 species
AAAAGCUCGUAGUUGGAUCUCAGUUCCAGACGGGUGGUCCGCCUACCGGUGGUCACUGCCCGUUCUGAACAGCCAGCCGGUUUCUCUUGAUGAUCUUCACCGGUUGUCUCGGGUGACCGGCAAGUUUACUUUGAAAAAAUUAGAGUGCUCAAAGCAGGCGCGACGCCUGAAUAAUGGUGCAUGGAAUAAUGGAAUAGGACCUCGGUUCUAUUUUGUUGGUUUUCGGAACACGAGGUAAUGAUUAAGAGGGACAGACGGGGGCAUUCGUAUUGCGACGCUAGAGGUGAAAAAAGUUAGAGGUUCGAAGGCGAUCAGAUACCGCCCUAGUUCUAACCAUAAACGAUGCCAGCCAGCGAUCCGGCUGUGUUCCUCAAAUGACACGCCGGGCAGCUUCCGGGAAACCAAAGCUUUUGGGUUCCGGGGGAAGUAUGGUUGCAAAGCUGAAACUUAAAGGAAUUGACGGAAGGGCACCACCAGAAAUGGAGCAUGCGGCUUAAUUUGACUCAACACGGGAAAACUUACCCGGCCCGGACACAGGAAGGAUUGACAGAUUAAGAGCUCUUUCUUGAUUCUGUGGGUGGUGGUGCAUGGCCGUUCUUAGUUGGUGGAGCGAUUUGUCUGGUUAAUUCCGAUAACGAACGAGACUCUAGCCUACUAAAUAGACGUUCCGAUCAUCUACGUCGGACGUUCUUCUUAGAGGGACAAGCGGCGUUUAGCCGCACGAGACAGAGCAAUAACAGGUCUGUGAUGCCCUUAGAUGUCCGGGGCCGCACGCGCGCUACAUUGAAGGAAUCAGCGUGUGCUUUCCCUGUCCGACAGGACUGGGUAACCCGUUGAACCUCCUUCGUGCUUGGGAUAGAAUUAUGUAAUUAAAUUCUUGAACGAGGAAUUCCCAGUAAGCACGAGUCAUAAGCUCGUGUUGAUUACGUCCCUGCCCUUUGUACACACCGCCCGUCGCUACUACCGAUUGAAUGAUUUAGUGAGGUCUUCGGACUGGCGCUCGGAGCGGCCUUCGGGUCGCGCCGACGUGCCGGAAAGAUGACCAAACUUGAUCAUUUCGUAAAAGUACCGGUGGCAAAGCCCCGAGAAAACAGCUCGCUACGAAGGCCGCUCGUAAGAGCGCCCCCGCCACCGGUGGCGUCAAAAAACCCCAUCGUUACAGGCCAGGAACUGUCGCUCUCAGGGAGAUCCGUCGGUACCAGAAAUCUACAGAGCUUUUGAUCCGCAAACUGCCUUUCCAGCGUUUGGUGAGAGAAAUCGCUCAGGACUUCAAGACCGAUCUCCGUUUCCAGAGUUCCGCCGUCAUGGCUCUUCAAGAAGCUAGCGAAGCUUACUUGGUUGGAUUGUUCGAAGACACAAACUUGUGCGCAAUUCACGCGAAGCGC